rnacentral:rRNA from 1 species
CCAUGCAGUCGAACGAUGACUUUUGUGCUUGCACAGAAUGAUUAGUGGCGAACGGGUGAGUAACACGUGAGUAACCUGCCCUUGACUUCGGGAUAAGCCUGGGAAACUGGGUCUAAUACCGGAUAUGCACCGUGGACCGCAUGGUUCUUGGUGGAAAGAUUUUUUGGUCAGGGAUGGACUCGCGGCCUAUCAGCUUGUUGGUGAGGUAAUGGCUCACCAAGGCGACGACGGGUAGCCGGCCUGAGAGGGUGACCGGCCACACUGGGACUGAGACACGGCCCAGACUCCUACGGGAGGCAGCAGUGGGGAAUAUUGCACAAUGGGCGAAAGCCUGAUGCAGCGACGCCGCGUGAGGGAUGACGGCCUUCGGGUUGUAAACCUCUUUCAGUAGGGAAGAAGCGAAAGUGACGGUACCUGCAGAAGAAGCGCCGGCUAACUACGUGCCAGCAGCCGCGGUAAUACGUAGGGCGCAAGCGUUUAUCCGGAAUUAUUGGGGCGUAAAAGAGCUCGUAGGCGGUUUGUCGCGUCUAUCGUGAAAGUCCGAGGCUCAACCCUCGGAUCUGCGGUGGGUACGGGCAGACUAGAGUGAUGUAGGGGGAGACUGGAAUUCCUUGGUGUAGCGGGUGAAAUGCGCAGAUAUCAAGAGGAAACACCGAAUGGCGAAAGGCAGGUCUCUGGGCAUUAAACUGACCCUGAGGAGCGAAAGCAUGGGGAGCGAACAGGUUGUAACCCACCAUGCCGUAAACGUUG